rnacentral:rRNA from 1 species
AGAGUUUGAUCAUGGCUCAGACUGAACGCUGGCGGCAUGCCUAACACAUGCAAGUCGAACGGUAACAGGAGAGAGCUUGCUCUCUUGCUGACGAGUGGCGGACGGGUGAGGAAUACUUAGGAAUCUGCCCAUUAGUGGGGGACAACUCCGGGAAACCGGAGCUAAUACCGCAUACGCCCUACGGGGGAAAGCAGGGGAUCUUUCGGGACCUUGCGCUAUUGGAUGAGCCUAAGUCAGAUUAGCUUGUUGGUGGGGUAAUGGCCUACCAAGGCGACGAUCUGUAGCUGGUCUGAGAGGAUGAUCAGCCACACUGGGACUGAGACACGGCCCAGACUCCUACGGGAGGCAGCAGUGGGGAAUAUUGCACAAUGGGGGAAACCCUGAUGCGGCCAUGCCGCGUGUGUGAAGAAGGCCUUCGGGUUGUAAAGCACUUUCAGUUGUGAGGAAAGGUUGAUGUUUAAUAUGCAUCAACUGUGACGUUAGCAACAGAAGAAGGACCGGCUAACUCCGUGCCAGCAGCCGCGGUAAUACGGAGGGUCCGAGCGUUAAUCGGAAUUACUGGGCGUAAAGCGCGCGUAGGCGGCUUGGUCAGUCAGAUGUGAA